UACGUAGGGGGCAAGCGUUGUCCGGAUUUAUUGGGCGUAAAGAGCGUGUAGGCGGCUAUACAAGUCUGCUGUGAAAACUCGAGGCUCAACCUCGAGCUGUCGGUGGAAACUGUCUGGCUAGAGUCCGGAAGAGGAGAGUGGAAUUCCUGGUGUAGCGGUGAAAUGCGCAGAUAUCAGGAAGAACACCUAUGGCGAAGGCAGCUCUCUGGGACGGUACUGACGCUGAGACGCGAAAGCGUGGGGAGCGAACAGG
rnacentral:rRNA from 1 species